GACAGAGGGGGCAAGCGUUGCUCGGAAUUACUGGGCGUAAAGGGCGCGUAGGCGGGAUGGCAAGUCGGUCGUGAAAUCCCUCGGCUCAACCGAGGAACGUCGAUCGAUACUGCUGUUCUUGAGGAUUGCAGAGGAGACUGGAAUUCCCGGUGUAGCGGUGAAAUGUGUAGAGAUCGGGAGGAACACCAGUGGCGAAGGCGAGUCUCUGGGCUGAUACUGACGCUGAGGCGCGAAAGCCAGGGGAGCAAACGGG
rnacentral:rRNA from 1 species